AGAGGUAAGACGGUACUACAGGGGUAGGAGUGAAAUCUUGUAAUCCCUGUGGGACCACCUGUGGCGAAGGCGUCUUACCAGAACGGGUUCGACGGUGAGGGACGAAAGCUGGGGGCACGAACCGGAUUAGAUACCCGGGUAGUCCCAGCCGUAAACGAUGCUCGCUAGGUGUCAGGCAUGGCGCGACCGUGUCUGGUGCCGCAGGGAAGCCGUGAAGCGAGCCACCUGGGAAGUACGGCCGCAAGGCUGAAACUUAAAGGAAUUGGCGGGGGAGCACAACAACGGGUGGAAGCCUGCGGUUUAAUUGGACUCAACGCCGGACAACUCGACCGGGGGCGACAGCAAUAUGUAGGCCAAGCUGAAGACUUUGCCUGAAUCGCUGAGAAGAGGUGCAUGG
rnacentral:rRNA from 1 species